GCGGAGGCGCUGGGCAUGGCGCCGGCAGAGCCGCUGACCGCGCUGCUGCGGCUGCUGGCCGCCGGCUUCUACGGCGCGAGCUCCUUCCUGCUGGUGGUGGUCAACAAGAGCGUGCUCACAGGCUGCAGGUUUCCCUCCUCGCUGUGUGUCGGACUUGGCCAGAUGGUGGCCACAGUGGCAGUUCUCUGGGUGGGAAAGGUGCUCAGAGUAGUCAAGUUUCCUGACCUUGACAGAAACGUACCUCAAAAGACGUUUCCACUACCUCUUCUAUAUUUUGGGAACCAAAUCACGGGACUGUUCAGCACAAAGAAACUGAACUUGCCAAUGUUUACAGUUCUGAGAAGGUUCUCCAUUCUGUUUACAAUGUUUGCUGAAGGAGUUUUACUCAAGAAGACGUUUUCUUGGGGUAUUCAAAUGACCGUAUUUGCAAUGAUCAUUGGAGCCUUUGUAGCUGCCAGCUCUGACUUGGCAUUUGAUCUGGAAGGCUAUGUUUUUAUUCUGAUAAAUGAUGUCCUGACAGUGGCAAAUGGUGCAUAUGUAAAACAAAAAUUGGAUUCAAAAGAGCUGGGAAAAUAUGGUUUGCUCUACUACAAUGCACUGUUCAUGAUUCUGCCCACCCUAGCCACUGCAUGUUUCACAGGAGAUGCACAAAAGGCGGUGGAGUUCGAAGGCUGGGCUGACACCCUCUUCCUUCUGCAGUUCACCCUCUCCUGUGUGAUGGGAUUUAUCCUGAUGUACGCCACAGUACUGUGCACUCAGUAUAACUCUGCUCUUACAACUACAAUAGUUGGCUGUAUAAAGAAUUGUAACCCUUUGCACUUGGAAGUGCAAGGGGACAUCGUAAUUCCAGCAGACCACCUUUCUUAUUGGAAGAUAAGAAUUCCAUUGCAUUUAUAUGAAAAGUUGUUGGAAAAAGUUCCCAGUGCAACACGAGAGCACAUGUUUGUGACAGAUAUUACACUAGUACUGUCCUAG